AAAUUCUUAGCCAUAUUACUUGAAAGAUCUUUUCUUUCCACCCUCUCUUUGGAGUUAGGUAGAAUUAUAGUUCCAAAAGUAUAUGAAAAAGAAUAAGUUUGAGGUUGCUCUUGGAAGUGAGCAAAUUUUUAAGUUUGGGGUUGGGGUACUAGAGAAUAUGAUCUUAAAUUUCAAAAAUUAUUGUGAAAAAGAAGUGGAAAAAGUCACUUCUUCAAAAAAA
rnacentral:lncRNA from 1 species